rnacentral:rRNA from 1 species
UGAUCCAGCCAUGCCGCGUGUGUGAAGAAGGCCUUAUGGUUGUAAAGCACUUUAAGCGAGGAGGAGGCUACUAGUAUUAAUACUACUGGAUAGUGGACGUUACUCGCAGAAUAAGCACCGGCUAACUCUGUGCCAGCAGCCGCGGUAAUACAGAGGGUGCGAGCGUUAAUCGGAUUUACUGGGCGUAAAGCGUGCGUAGGCGGCCAUUUAAGUCAAAUGUGAAAUCCCCGAGCUUAACUUGGGAAUUGCAUUCGAUACUGGAUGGCUAGAGUAUGGGAGAGGAUGGUAGAAUUCCAGGUGUAGCGGUGAAAUGCGUAGAGAUCUGGAGGAAUACCGAUGGCGAAGGCAGCCAUCUGGCCUAAUACUGACGCUGAGGUACGAAAGCAUGGGGAGCAAACAGGAUUAGAUACCCUGGUAGUCCAUGCCGUAAACGAUGUCUACUAGCCGUUGGGGCCUUUGAGGCUUUAGUGGCGCAGCUAACGCGAUAAGUAGACCGCCUGGG